CCUUGUACACACCGCCCGUCAAGUCAUGGAAGCCGGGAGCGCCCGAAGUCGCCGUAUCUCAACGGUGCCUACGGCAAGCUCGGUGACUGGGACU
rnacentral:rRNA from 1 species